rnacentral:rRNA from 1 species
UACGUACCGUCCAAACGUUAUUCGGUAUCACUGGGCUUAAAGCGUUCGUAGGCGGCCUAGAAGGUGUGAUGUGAAAGCCCACGGCUCAACCGUGGAACUGCGUCGCAAACCACUAGGCUUGAGGAAGACAGGGGUGAAGGGAACUUAUGGUGGAGCGGUGAAAUGCGUUGAUAUCAUAGGGAACACCGGUGGCGAAAGCGCUUCACUGGGUCUUUUCUGACGCUGAGGAACGAAAGCUAGGGUAGCGAACGGG